UGCAAGAAGUGAACAUGUCAUGUCUAUAACAAGAAUAUUCAUUUUUGUUUCUUACCAGCCAUCUGGGAGACUCAGGAAUGAAAAUGAGGCCCCCGACAAGAAUAGCACACGGAACAAGUCCUGCAAUCAGAUUGAAAAGACAUACAUACCAAGGGAGCUUCACAUGGAAUUGAUGACUGCAUCAAGAUCUCUCAAAUCAGACAGCAGCAUUGAAAAUACGAGGAGAAAAAAUGACUAUACCCUUUUGUUUGGUCAUGAAAGAUGAACAUCAUAAAAGCAAAUAAGAAAGCAACUGUGUACUUAAGGCCACAAUUGAUGCCCCACAAGUAGGGGAAUUGAAUUUCAACCGCACUCACCUUGAUUAUCUUGAUGAGAACUGGAGAAUGCAAGGUUAAGGCUGCGUACAUCCGCAUUUAGCCUAACUAAUCUAUAUGGGUUCUUUUUCUUCUUUUUCUUUUGUUUUACAGUAUUAUGAGGAGAUAGGGAAGCCAAUACACUGAUUCUGAGGAAUUUGUAGGGGAAUGUGAACCAGUAGUCAUGAUAGCUAAAGGCCAAAGUAAUCAACAUAAUUACUUGCUUUUCAAAUAAAUCAAUUCCGGUGUCAUGAAUUAAAAGGCUUGAAUUUGUUGUUGAUGCAGGUGUGCAAGGGACAUGUAAGUAUGGGACAAAAGGGACCUUCUGAUCAAUACAUUUUGUGAAAGUUGAUAAGAGUAAAAAAUUAGUAGACAAUAACAACAAUCCUCAAGAAAAUGUGACCAGAAAGCGAAAGCAACCGAGAUAGAAAGUUGUAAAGAUGACAACUCCUCUUCAUCGUGACAUCAUCAUAAGGUACCACUGUGAUCACAAACACUAUGGCCAAUGCGUUGAUCGCUGCGUAAAGAAGAUAUGUGCCUGCAAACCACACAUACAGAUAAGCCAUCUGGGAGACUCAGGAAUGAAAAAGAGACCACCGACAAGAAUGGCACACGGAACAAGUCCUGCAAUCAAAUUGUAAGUAUCUUCUUGUCACAAUAGCUUGCUCUUUUGUUUUCAAAUGUUACAUAUAAAAAGAUCAAAGUUAUGUU